UUGAAAAAAUCUUCGAUAAUAUCUACUAACCUUCCAAAAAAAUAUACAUUUAUUAAAGUUUUGAAAAAACCUUUGAAAAAUAUGUAUUUGAUAAUCUACUAUUUAUAAGAGGAUAAUAAAUAACCUUAGAAAAAAAAAUAUACAUUUAUUAAAAUUUUGAAAAAACCUUUGAAAAAUAUGUAUUUUUUUUUUUAUCAAAAGUCAAUCAAAUCCUUUGAAGAAUAUAUACAUUUUAUCCAAGGUUUCUUCAACACUUUCGAUAAUAUCUACUUUUUGUAACCUUUGAAAAAAAAAUAUACAUUUUCCUUUCUCUGUUGUCAGUCUCGCCCGACCUGACAGGUGGUAACGACUGUUGAUUGCAGGAGAAGAUUGAUGUGCAAGUUGAACUCCAAAAUUUAAACCAAUUUUUGUGAAUAAACUUGCUAGAUUGGCAAUCCUCUUGAUUCGUUUCGAUUAAUAAGCUCAUUUAUGUGUUGAGCAAUUUUUAGUUUCUUAUUGUGCAGUUGCAGGUAAGAUUUGUGGAUUUAGGAUCAGACUAUUAACUCUCUGAUAUUGUUGUGUUUUAGGUUUUCAAGUUAUGAGUUGCGAUGUGUUUAUUUGGAUUCAUUGAUUUAAAUUAAAUUAGAUUCGAUGUCAGUUAAUUUUGGGAUGGAGAUGUUGAUAAUUUUGAGUUUCGUUUCGUAGGAAGAUUUUGAGUAUGGAGUAUACGAUGGACAUCACACUUACUUUGAAGAGGAGAAGAAAGGUUAGUUCAUUAACAUAUGCAACUGGGUUUAUUUUCGUUCCUUGUUUGGAAGAAAUCUUGGAAGAAUCUCUUAAAUUUGGAUGCUAUAAUCUACUAGAACUUGUUUCUGUUUUGGAUUAAGUCUUCUGUUUAGACUGAGUGGAAUGUGGAUCCAAUCCCUGCGAUGUAUUGGAGCCCUUAGAGAACUAAUUUAGACAUUCCAAGCAUGAAAUUUUGCUUUCCCAGAAGUCCUUUUAGAUCUAAUUUCAUGAGUUUUAUAGUAUAGACUUCACAUUUCUCAAUGCCAUGUGCCAUCACAGUUGAGCCAAUGUGAAACUGAUCAAAAUCAAUCUCACUCAGACUGUGUACCAAAUGACUUUAAGCAUAAUGAGAAAGGGGUUUUAGUUAAUUAAAAACACUGUGUAACUUCUCAAGAUGUUUUAUGUUAGAUACUAGAAGUAAUUUUGAAAAGGUUAAGACCACCUACAAUCGAACCAAUGUUUUGAUCUUUUCCUGAAGUACUUCAUUUGCACUUCCUUUAGAAGUUAUAUCCCGAACUAACUCUUAGUCAAACUGACAAGUUGAUGAUGAAACUUUGGUAUAAAUUUUUAUAUCUGUUUAAGCAAUACCAAUGACGAGAAGUAUUGACCAACUUGUGCUGGUAGUAUGAAUAUUUAUCUCCUUGCUAACUGUGUCAUUUUGAUGGUUUCUUAUUUUUGUUUGUUUUUUUCUAAAUUUGUAGUAGUGAUUUAACACCAAAUCUUGCUUCAUCUUCAUUAAUCUCUCUUACCUCCACUGUUUUCUCAGCCUGUUUUCUCUUAAAUUGUAAGCUUCUUUUGCAGUGACAAAGAGCAAGUGAAAAUGAAAAAAAAAAUGGGAACUAGGGGAAUCCAAGAUUUCGUUUGUUACAUUUAUAGAUCCUCAAACUUGAUAUUGCCUUGUUGUUAUCGGAAAUGUUAGGAUAAAGUUUCGUGAUGCGGAGAUCACCGGUGCCGUAAGCAGCUACGUGAGCGUCCAAAUCACUUUGCCAGAUCAAGACUUUAAGCUUCUUCUUUUUUCUUUUACUAAAUAUUAUGCACAAAAUUGUCCCUAUAUUUGUAAUCUUUUAUAGUAAUUUUACCCUUUAAAAUAUUUUUCUAUUUUAAUUGAAUUAACUAACUCUUAUUGAAUUAUUCUUCUCAAUAAUAAAGGAUGCACAAAUAUGUAGGCUU